rnacentral:rRNA from 1 species
GUUUGAUUAUGGCUCAGGAUGAACGCUGGCGGCAUGCCUAAUACAUGCAAGUCGAACGGAGUGAAGCCUUCGGGUUUCAUUCAGUGGCGAACGGGUGAGUAAUACGCAGGGAACCUGGCCAUGGCAGGGGGAUACACUCUGGAAACGGAGCAUAAGACCCCAUAGGCAGUAAGGCGGCAUCGCCUUACUGUUAAAGAAAGCUGAAAGGCUUUGGCGAUGGAUGGACCUGCGGUGCAUUAGCUUGUUGGUGAGGCAACGGCUUACCAAGGCGAUGAUGCAUAGCCGGCCUGAGAGGGCGGACGGCCACACUGGGACUGAGACACGGCCCAGACUCCUGCGGGAGGCAGCAGUAGGGAAUUUUCGUCAAUGGGCGCAAGCCUGAACGAGCAAUGCCGCGUGAGUGAGGAAGGUCUUCGGACUGUAAAGCUCUGUUGCCGGGGAAAAAGGGGAAAUGCAGGAAAUGGCAUUUCAUGGAUGGUACCCGGCCAGAAAGCCACGGCUAACUACGUGCCAGCAGCCGCGGUAAUACGUAGGUGGCGAGCGUUAUCCGGAAUGAUUGGGCGUAAAGGGUGCGCAGGCGGUCUGUUAAGUCUGAAGGCAAAGGGAUGAGCUCAACUCAUUUAUGAUUCAGAAACUGGCAGACUUGAGGACAGGAGAGGGCGGUGGAACUCCAUGUGUAGCGGUAAAAUGCGCAGAGAUAUGGAAGAACACCAGUGGCGAAGGCGGCCGCCUGGCCUGUGACUGACGCUGAGGCACGAAAGCGUGGGGAGCAAAUAGGAUUAGAUACCCUAGUAGUCCACGCCGUAAACGAUGAGGAGCAGGUGUUGGGAGUGAAAUCUCAGUGCCGAAGCCAACGCAGUGACUCCUCCGCCUGGGGAGUAUGCACGCAAGUGUGAAACUCAAAGGAAUUGACGGGGGCCCGCACAAGCGGUGGAGUAUGUGGUUUAAUUCGAAGCAACGCGAAGAACCUUACCAGGUUUUGACAUCGGAUGCGAAGGCGCAGAGAUGCGCUGGAGGCUAUCAUCCAGACAGGUGGUGCAUGGUUGUCGUCAGCUCGUGUCGUGAGAUGUUCAGUUAAGUCUGGCAACGAGCGCAACCCCCGUGGUAUGUUACUAACGCUUUAGGGCGAGGACUCAUAUCAGACUGCCGGUGACAAACCGGAGGAAGGCGGGGAUGACGUCAAAUCAUCAUGCCCCUUAUGACCUGGGCUACACACGUACUACAAUGGCGUCUACAGAGGGAAGCGACCCUGAGAAGGGAAGCGAAACCGGAAAAGGGCGUCCCAGUUCGGAUUGAAGUCUGCAACCCGACUUCAUGAAGAUGGAAUCGCUAGUAAUCGCGGAUCAGCAUGCCGCGGUGAAUACGUUCCCGGGCCUUGUACACACCGCCCGUCAAACCAUGGAAGCCGGCAACGCCCGAAGCCGGUGGCAUAACCUUUUAGGAGUGAGCCGUCGAAGGCGGGACCGAUGACUGGGGUUAAGUCGUAACAAGGUACCC